rnacentral:rRNA from 1 species
UGGGGAAUUUUGGACAAUGGGGGCAACCCUGAUCCAGCCAUGCCGCGUGCGGGAAGAAGGCCUUCGGGUUGUAAACCGCUUUUAGUCGGAAAGAAAAGGCACGCCCUAAUACGGCGUGUUCUUGACGGUACCGGCGGAAUAAGCACCGGCCAACUCCGUGCCAGCAGCCGCGGUAAUACGGAGGGUGCGAGUGUUAAUCGGAAUUACUGGGCGUAAAGGGCGCGUAGGCGGUGCGUGGAGUCAGCUGUGAAAGCCCUGGGCUUAACCUGGGAAUGGCGUUUGGGACUGCAAGGCUUGAGUCAGUAAGGGGAGGGCAGAAUUCCUGGUGUAGCGGUGAAAUGCGUAGAUAUCAGGAGGAAGGCCGGUGGCGAAGGCGGCCCUCUGGUACUGGACUGACGCUGAGGCGCGAAAGCGUGGGGAGCGAACAGGAUUAGAUACCCUGGUAGUCCACGCCCUAAACGGUGGGCACUAGGUGUAGGGCUCGUAAGGGUUCUGUGCCGAAGGGAAACCAUUAAGUGCCCCGCCUGGGGAGUACGGCCGCAAGGUUG